GCCUGAUGGAUCGUCGCUGAUAAUGAUAUUUAGAAACCUAACUUUUCUUCUCUCUUUACUUUUCACUCUUUCAUCUUCUUCUUCUCUCACAUUCUCCUCUGCAAAUCACGUUUUCCCUCUGAUCUCCUUUGCAAUUCUCGCGCGCCAUUGCCAUCCAUUGACAAAGGCAGCACUGUAGCUCGCCUCCCUCGAACCCGCAGGGCACCCAUUUGAAUGAAGUUGCUAUUAUGCAUCUAGAAUGUGUUUGCUGAUUAUGAAAGUAAUGGGAUUUGAAUGAUUUGCUGUUUCUGCAAAAGGGGGUGGAGCUUGGAGUCUGGAAAAUGGGGUUUUGCAGAUGAAAGAUUGUAGGCAUUUAUCCUUGGAAAAGAAUCGCUUGUUGUGUAGUCGCAAGUUGUCCAAGGACUUGACUCAUCCAGAUAAUUAAUGGUUGCAUUGAAGAACAAUACUAUAAAGGAGGCAAAAAUGCCUCGGCGUGGUCGAUGAUGAUUUCUAAGAUUGUGUACGAUCAUUGCGACGUCCAUUAUGAUAGUUGGAGCAAGGUCUCAGCUGUAAUGGUGAAGAGUUUGGAAGAAUGUGUGAAGUUCGAUUUGAAUAUGGAGCUAGAGCAGCACAAGGAGGCCGUAAAGCAUCAAUUGCAUCUUAGUUAUGGGAGGAUUCGCUCCGAACUACAAAAUUUAUUUCGAAGGUGUGCAAAGUCAUGAUUUGGCAGCGGUGGCCAAUGCUAAAUGGUGUUUCUCCAGACCAAUGGCCUGUUAUAUGUGAUUCAUUUGAAACCGUCUUGUAGAAGAAAAAAUCUUAGUGAAAUAAGAAAAAUAGAGCAGAGAUGAAAACAAAUCAUACCAUUGGCACCUUGCCGUUCGUCAAUGUUAUUCAUGAGAAGAUUGCUAAGGCCAUACCUGAUCCUAUUGAAAUUUUCAAGGACACUCACAUGAGAAAGAACAGGAGUUUUGUGAGUGAAUACGUUGAGAAUGCAUAUAAUGAAAUGGAAUCAAAAGCAAACUUUGAUAGCGUGAAUACCAGCCAAGAAGACAUUGUACUGAAGGUGCUAGGGGGACAUCGCUCAGGACAUGUUAGAGGAAAGGGUUGUGGUGCCAUACCUACCCAGUCAAGUUUCUCAACAGCGCGCUACGCUGCCCAGCUUCACAACCAUGAUGAAUGCAAGGCUAAACAGCUAGAAACUGAAAAGAAACUAGCUAAAUCACUAGGGAAAUAUGAUAAGGUGGAGGAAUCACAAGCUGCUAUGCAGACAUAAAUGAAGGAAUCACAAGUUGCUAUGCUGGCAGAAAUGAAGGAAUCACAAGCAUCUCAAGCUGCUCUACAGGCACAAAUGAAUAGGCUACUAAAACAUCUUGGAGUGCUUGGAGGGAGCUCUUAUGGAUCUCAAGCAAGCAAAAGCAACAUCCGAGGGAGCUUUUGUUGUAUUUUGUUUAAGACUUUGUUUUAAUAUUAUAAAUAUUAUAACAAAUUUGAUUUGUAUUAGAGGGUAAGAACUUCAAAUAGUUUUUUGUUUAAGAACUUGGGGGGAGCUUUGGUUGUACUUUGUUGAAGAAGUUGUUUUAAUAUUAUAAAGAUUAUAACAAAUUUGGUUUGUGUUAGAAGGUAAGAACUUCAAACAGUUUUUUGUUUAAGAACUUUGAGUUAGUGAACCUCUCUUGACAUGUUUAUCAAGUUGAGUAAACAAUGCCAGAGAGUAAUAUUAUAUAAUAAUAUUUCAUUUUUAAGUGUAUACAGGAUGGCGCGAGAGGAAGAUAUGCAAGGAGUUGUGGCGCUAAAGGACUCAAAUAACAAUGAAUGAGGGUGCAAACGGCUACAUGGCACAUCAAUCUUUGAAUGACUCAACAUAUAUUGUAAAUGUAACUGAUGAAGGUAUAUGUUCUUGCCUUUUUUGAUUUAUGAGUCCCUUUUAGGGUAUAUGACUGAUGUGUACACAUGCCUUAUUAUGAGAUAUUAUUUAGGGUUUAGA